GCAAGACACACAACAGAAGGCAAGCGGUGGGAAAGAUUCUUUGGAAGCUGAGGAGUCUAAGAAUGGGAUUUCCGUCCGUGGUCCUCAGAAUGGUGUGGCUCGCAGUCCAUCACAAACAAUGUUGAAUCAAACAAUGCCUAUCAUGCCAAUGGCAACACUUGUGUAAGUUGCGUUCUUGUAUGGUUAAGCCUCGGUACGGAAUUAUUUACUGGCACUCUCAUGCGGAAAACUUCAUUCUUGUUAUGCUUUUCUAUAUAUGUUACUUGACUAUCAUAAGAUAACUAUAUGUACAAUUCUAGAGUUUGGGAUUUUAUGUUUGCCAGCAACAACUAGCAGUUUUGUAUCAUCUCAAGAUGUUGGUGGGUAUAACUGAUUAUGUUGCAUGUUUCUCAUGCCCUUGUAAACAUGCUCUUCACUACAGUCCGGGAUUCUUUAGGAUUAACAUAUGAUGUAUCCUUUAAGCUAAGCCAGUUUGAUAGGUUGAAAGUCAGGUGGUAUGUGGUCUCAGUAAUUUCAACUCCUGGCAAGGUCUAUAAAGCUGUUGUGUUGAUGCAUGUAAGAAUGUUCUGAGAGGUUUACAUGAUAGCAAGAUUGCCCGAAGAGAGCUGGAUCGGCGCGCACAACGGCUGUCACAGUUGUAGAGAUUCUGAAGAAAAAAGGGCUGGCUAUUGAGAAGAGGAUUUUGAUGUCUACAGCUGACAUGAAGGAUGAAUCCAAGGGCCGUCUUAUUCCAAAAGCGAAGGUUGGCACUGUUAAUGCUAGUUUUUAAUAUUUGUCAUGUCAAAUUAAUCAUCCUUACUACCUUCUUCUUCUUCUUCUUUUCUUAUUUGAAGUGAUCAAAUUCAAAUACCCAUGCUUUUUUAACCAGCAUGGUUGAUUAUUUCUGCAGUUUUAUCAAACCACCCCCCUCCGUUUCUUUCAGAAAGACACAAGCAUAUAUAAUUCUUCUCUUUGGCUACACUAGUUACUUGAUUUCAACAACCAGACUCCUGUUUACUUUUUAUUUUUGGGAGGUAGCUGUUUGCAUACCAUGAUGUUUACAGUUGUAAUGUUUUUGUUCUUACUUGUUAUAGAUUGAGGUAUUGCUCGGGAAGACUGAGAAAUUCGAUGAUCUGAUUAUUGCCAUUGCUGCCAAAGGGAGGCAGUUGGAGACAAUAAAGCAUGAUGGCAAACCAUAGCUCUAGAGUUCCAUCAUAUUCUGAUUUUCAUUUCUUUUUUCCUCCUGGUGUCCUGUUUAAGUGAUAGAGGUUAUCGAAUUUUCAAGUAGAGCUGCUGCUGUCAUUAACUGAAAAGAGCAGAGUUGAGAGAGGCCAUUUUCUUUUCUCCUUUUAUGGGAGUUGUUGAUAAUACAGACAAUCUGUUGUUUGGUGGUCAGACUACUGUUGUAUUGUUUGAGUCUUGUUUCAGCAUCUUCCUUUGACUAAUGCUGACUGAUUGACAGCAAACAGUAAAAGCUUUGGUGAUCUUCCAUCUU